rnacentral:rRNA from 1 species
GAUGAACGCUGGCGGCGUGCUUAACACAUGCAAGUCGAACGGAAAGGCCCAAGCUUGCUUGGGUACUCGAGUGGCGAACGGGUGAGUAACACGUGGGUGAUCUGCCCCGCACUUCGGGAUAAGCCUGGGAAACUGGGUCUAAUACCGGAUAGGACAGUGGUUUGGAUGCCAUUGUGGAAAGUUUUUUCGGUGUGGGAUGAGCUCGCGGCCUAUCAGCUUGUUGGGGGGGUAAUGGCCUACCAAGGCGUCGGCGGGUAGCCGGCCUGAGAGGGUGUACGGCCAAAAUGGGACGGGGGUACGGCCCAGAAGCCUACGGGGGGCAGCAGGGGGGAAUAUUGCACAAUGGGCGCAAGCCUGAUGCAGCGACGCCGCGUGGGGGAUGACGGCCUUCGGGUUGGAAACUCCUUUCGCUAGGGACGAAGCGUUAUGUGACGGUACCUAGAGAAGAAGCACCGGCUAACUACGUG